rnacentral:rRNA from 1 species
UACGUAGGGGGCAAGCGUUGUCCGGAAUCAUUGGGCGUAAAGCGAGCGUAGGCGGCCCGAUAAGUCUGCUGUGAAAGUCAACGGCUCAACCGUUGAAAGCCGGUGGAUACUGUCGGGCUAGAGUUCGGAAGAGGCAAGUGGAAUUCCUGGUGUAGCGGUGGAAUGCGCAGAUAUCAGGAGGAACACCGGUGGCGAAGGCGGCAUCCUGGACCGACAUUGACGCUGAGGCGCGAAAGCCAGGGGAGCAAACGGG